GUGCUUGCUUCAGCAGCACAUAUACUAAAAAUGGAAUGAUUCAGAGAACAUUAGCAUGACCCCUGAACAAGGAAGACCUGCAAAGUCACAAAGCAUUCCGUAUUUUU
ensembl:snRNA U6 U6 spliceosomal RNA